rnacentral:rRNA from 1 species
GACGAACGCUGGCGAUGUGCUUAACACAUGCAAGUCGAACGGAAAGGCCCUGCUUUUGUGGGGUGCUCGAGUGGCGAACGGGUGAGUAACACGUGAGUAACCUGCCCUUGACUUUGGGAUAACUUCAGGAAACUGGGGCUAAUACCGGAUAGGAGCUCCUGCUGCAUGGUGGGGGUUGGAAAGUUUCGGCGGUUGGGGAUGGACUCGCGGCUUAUCAGCUUGUUGGUGGGGUAGUGGCUUACCAAGGCUUUGACGGGUAGCCGGCCUGAGAGGGUGACCGGCCACAUUGGGACUGAGAUACGGCCCAGACUCCUACGGGAGGCAGCAGUGGGGAAUAUUGCACAAUGGGCGGAAGCCUGAGGCAGCAACGCCGCGUGCGGGAUGACGGCCUUCGGGUUGUAAACCGCUUUCGCCUGUGACGAAGCGUGAGUGACGGUAAUGGGGAAAGAAGCACCGGCUAACUACGU